rnacentral:rRNA from 1 species
ACGUAGGCACCAAGCGUUGUUCGGAUUUACUGGGCGUAAAGAGUGUGUAGGCGGUCUUGUAAGUUUGGUGUGAAAUCUCCCGGCUCAACUGGGAGGGUGCGCCGAAAACUGCAGGGCUUGAGCAUGGGAGAGGGAAGCGGAAUUCCUGGUGUAGCGGUGAAAUGCGUAGAUAUCAGGAGGAACACCGGCGGUGUAGACGGCUUCCUGGACCAUUGCUGACGCUGAGACACGAAAGCGUGGGGAGCAAACAGG